UACCUCAUUUAAAGGCUGGCUGCCACUCUGGGAGGAUCUCUAGUUGGAGAUCUGUCCUUUGUGGGGUUUUCCUGUGAGCCUAGAUCUUCAGAGGCAGAUGCUGUCACUGGGGACUUACAGGAUUCUACUUGGUUCAGGCCAGUCCAGCUGUGAUCCACCUCUAAGCUCAGGAGGACUGAGAGCAGGCUGAACACAGGUCUCUUCUCUGGGAUGGUGUGCACCGCUGAAUGAUGAAUGUCAGAAGUGAAGGAAAAUACCAUUACAGCAGCCUCCACUUGCUCUUACAGAAAGCUUACCAUGCAACAGAAAUGUGUCGAAUGUCCAGCAAGGGAUUUCUACGGGGUGGUCACAGCUUCACUGCAGAGUGUGGUAUAGGCGUGACAGAUAUGCAUUAAGCAUGGCACUUGAGUAAUGCAGAAAAAUUGCUAUAAUCAGCAAUCCAACAAAAAAAGGCAUUGCAUAGGCUCUCUGCCAGGAGAACAAAGGUGGUGGCUGUUGUGAUGGAUCAACCCUCUCCUCAGCAUCCACAUCUUGCUUGUUGGCUCUUCAGCACAAGAUGACCAAAGACUGCUAACAUGGAGACACCAGGAUCUUGUCACUGCAAAGGAAGCAGAUGUGAAGAUGCAGCACCCUGAUACUUUUGACCUACAACGUGUGACUGCUCUUGAGGAAACUGGUGGGAGAGCUGAAAAGAGUACAGAAGUGUGCCCCUUUUCAUUAGGAAUCAAACCUCUCAUCUAUUGCCCGGCUCCAGAUAGUGAAAGAAAAACUCUUAAUAGGUUAGCAGCAGCUCAGCUGCAAUCAACUGCUAAAGCAAAAGUGUGCAGUGGCUUGAGAGUUACAAGAGACCUAUUUGGAGUUAUUCCAUAGUGGAUUAAGAAGACAGGCUUACUGCAGUGCCUUCUAUGACAAUUAAAUGUGAAUUAUGUACUUUUUGAGCUUAUGAAAAGAUGAUUUUCCAUGGUUGUUAGGCAAACUUCUGUAGCAAGGUUUCAAUGAUGACUUUUCUAAGACUAGAUCACAAAAAUAAAUCAGCAUUUUCUUAUCAGGGACCUGUGAAAGACCUUGGGGAUACAAACUGGACCUGUACAAUCUGCGCUCAUUGAUCCAGUUGUGGUUCUGUUAUAUACAGAUCUUAUGUAUCUGAGAAAAAUAUGCAGACAAAACCUUAUGUUUACGUGACUCUGUGGCAUGUUACAAAGUGAAGGGGCAUGUCCAGUGUCAUGGAAACUUUAUUAUUGCUCCCAGUUGCUGAAAUUCUCUUUAUUGGCAGCAACCUUGAUAUUAUUUCUUUUCACAAAAAGAUCGUAAUUGUGUUUAUUUAUUGUUUCUAUCAGGCAAUUCAGAGAAUACAGAACAGUUUUCCAUGGUGAAGAGUGCAGUAAAUGUUUUUCCUCCCAAGUGUUUGCAGCAGCACUGGGAUCAGAACAAAACCUGCUUUUGCAUGUAACUACCAACAAAACAUCCACCAUCUCAAAUCCAGAGGGACCUCACACAGAUGCUUAAAACACCUCUUUGGGAGCUGCCCAUGCUCCACACACAAAUGGUUACAAGCCUGUGUCCUAAAACAACGGAUCUGUGAUCUGGUGUGGCUGUGAGGAAAGGUUUACGCUCCUUUUACUUCCAAGCAGCUCAUGGCCUCCUUUCCCAGGCAAAUAUUCUCUUGGAUCUGAAGGGGCACAAGGCACAGCAGUCCACUCCAGCGUGCUCCCUGUGUGAGGCCAGCAGGCAGCACUACCUCUGAGGUGCAGCUGCCCACCCGUGGCCUAGCAGGGUUUGCAGAGCCCACACGAGCCCACUGUGGGGCAUGCCAUUUUGCCGAGCCCCCAUGCAGUUCCUGUUCAAGAGCUUUUGAUUUGGUUUGGGGGGAUGGCGGGGGAAGGGAAGUGCCUUUUUUUUUUUCUUUUUUUUUUCUUCAGCUGGGGAUUUCAAAUGUGUCAUUUUCUUCUGUUAUCUUAAGUCUCCAA